AACACUGUUAACCUGCGGUACCUGCGGAGGGAUCAUCAGUAGUCCUUCAGUCUGUUUAACAGGCGCAAAAUACCAUCUUGUGCACGGUUUGUUGGUUAGGGGUGACUGGGAGGUUUUUUAGAUAUUACACGUUGCCGUGUGGUCUAAAUUCUCCCAGCUACCUGUUAUAAAUACACUAUAAGUCCAUUAGAGUUAGUUUUGAAGUAAGGUUGUUGUAUUACACAACAAGUAAUCUAUACA
rnacentral:misc_RNA from 1 species